CUUCCCCCUCUAAUAGUUGCAUCUGCUUAAUUAUAUGCUUCAUCGCUGUAUACUCCAGUCUGCAUUGACUGGUUAACGACUUGUGAUGGGUUUGCACCACAGAAAUUCACACAAUAAACACUUAAAAGAAGAAGAUAUUGAAGUAAUAGUAAUUUCGGAUAGCAGCUUGGACUUCAAACUUUCUUAAUACAACUGAACAUGGCCUAAAUCAUCAAAAAAUCGUAACAAUGAUGAAGAUUUCGUUAUCUGUUAUUUGUAUGUCCUUGUACAGCAAUGAACUCAGCUGACCGAGUAAGAUGGUUCUUGUUGAUGAGCAGAGCAGGAUUGCUGGUGUAUAGCAGGCAGGCAUUAGUGGAAAAGCACGCACGCACGCACACUUUGAAAGGGGUUGAUUUUAUGAGAGAGUGAACCUUUCAAUCUGAAUUGGAAUGCACUUGUAAUAUGGAAAUUGACAUUUUCACCGUUUCUUUUAUAAAUAGUAAGCGAGUCUCGUAUUAAUUACUAUGAAAAUUCAAUUUUCUAUAUUCUAUUGUGAAUCCAAACAUUCAUUUUACUUCUUCCUCUCCCUAAAAAGAAUUUUAUUUACAAAAUUUUAAUUCAAUAUUUUAUCCCUAAAAUAAUAAAUUAGCUAACUUACUAAUAGUGACAUAAAAAUGAAAUUAUGAUAAUAAACUAAAAGACAUUAUAUAGUUUUAUAUUAUAAUUAAUAAAAUGAGGAUUAUUUUUAUAAAACAAAAUAAAAAGAAUUAUAUACAUCAGAAAAAGCAUUUACUUAUAUAAAAUAUAAAAUGAAAAUAUUUCCUUGAAGUUGGAAUUAUUGUCAAAAAGGAGGCAAUACUAGGCAAGAAAGUUGCCAAAAUAAAACUAAUAAUAAUAGGUUAAGUAGUUUCUUGGUUCAACCACACCACACAUAUAACUUGGGUAGUUAGGUUUAAUAGCGAAGUGGUUAGUAUGAAGUUUAUUUUGGGGUAAGUUGAUCAAUUGACCAAUAGAAUACUGACACGCAGUCGAGGUUGUAUGUGUGUCAGUAUUCUAUUGGCCAAUUGACCAAUUUACCAAAAAAAUACCUCCAUGCUAACCGGAUCCGUUUAAUAGUAUCAACAGAUUCACGUAAAGUCUUAUUUUAUUACUGAUAAUCCAUCCCUUGAAAGGAAAUAUAAUUUACAAAAGGGAAAAAGAAUUACUUGACUUUAUUCCCAUCUGGUUACAACUUUACUACAUUUAGAGAAAUGGCAUGCAAUUACAACAAAUUACAAACUCGUCCCACCUACCGUCUAUAAUAGAGAGUAACAAAUCAAGAAAUUAAACUCCUGACACAAUAAAUUGCUUGCUUUGGAACAGGAUGACUAUGGUCGUUGAUAUACAUAUUUUGUUCUGGGAUCCACAAUUAGACCCUUCCCACCAUUAACUUCUAAAUCAUGCCUGCAUUCAAAAAUUUAUCAAGAACUUGGGGAAAAUCAAAAAAUAAAAAAAUCGUAUCCCUAAAUUUAAAAAUCAACAUAGCCCGGAUUUGGUUUAUGCAAAAAUGAAUUUAAACUGGAAAUAAGUGUGGGGAAGGCAGUAAACAUAGCUAAUGAAAAACUCGGCCUUCAUAGUCUUUUUCAUUAGGUGGGAUCUUUUCUCAAAAUGUCAGGGAGGGCUCCCAUUAGAUCUUGAUUAAUUAUGAACAAAAAACUAAUUUUCCAGUAUAGAAGCACAGAUAACUCAACUGGAACACAAAGUCGGGGAUGGUUAGCUGCUCCCGUGGAACAUAUUUGAAUAGCUGCAGAAGCCUAUCGACAUACACAACUUUUUUCCACACCUAAAGAUCGAGUUCCAGGAAAAUUGAAUAAGCUUUCAGAGGGAAGUAAGUUUUCAGGUUUUAGUAAGUAGUUCAAGGAAGGACAGGCAUACCACACCAUCCACAAACAUUUGCAAUGCGAAAAUUGCAGCUUUCAGUCCAAAGGUUGGGUGAAGCACAUAUAUUGCCUAUAAAGCAAAUGAUGAAUUCAGGAUCGACAAAAGGAGACAUAUAUACUUAAUUAGAGAUAUUAGGCCUUGCAUACGUGAAGGUUACGCUGGUGUUUCCGACCAAGUAUCUGCUGUAAUCUCCUCAUCCACCCCAGAUCUGGUUGUCUAUUAAAUCCAGAAGAAACAGAACUUGAGAAGUAACAAAAAAAGAGAAUCUUCAUAGUGCAAUAUCAGAUACCAAAAAGAUGAUAAUCACAAUAACAUAUAGAUGAUCUAGCAAUGUUGGAAUUUGUAAUUACAAUAAUAAUAACAACAAUUAUAAUAAUUAUAAUUACAACAACAACCAUUAUAAUAAUAAUAAUAAUAAUAAUAAUAAUAACAACAACAACAAUAACAAAAAUAAUUAUUAUAAUAAUAACAAUAAUAAUACUAAUGAGCAAUAGGUAUAGCAGCAGCAGAGGUUUUAAGUUGCAAGAAGGAUGUGUGAGCUGAGCAGACUAUAUACUGAGAAUGCUUAAAUCAUAUAAAGGUUCAAAAACCUAGUACUUCUAAGGAAUUUGUAAAUGAGUAUAGAACUUUGGCUAGACAAAAUUAGUUAAAAACUUCACCCGGAGUUUGAACCUUUCUGCAAGAUCAUUGCAUAUGCGACAUAGUAGUGGUGGUAAAAUGAUUAGACAGUAUAAACACAUAAAAAAGAUACUGCUUAAUCAUGCCAGGUGAUCCAGGAGAAGCAGCAUAGUGCGUGCAAGUAAACAAUAUUACAAGGAAGAGUACUCACAUUUGUAGGGAUGCUGCAGAAUGAAAGUAAACUAUAGAAAAAGGCUUCUGUAUCAAGGGCUCGAACUCCUGAAAUUCAAUAUUUCGAGAGAAUUUAUCCUAGUUCUAAAAGCCAAUGUGAAGUAUAAGAACAAUGCCUGGGAAAGGGAAGCAUGCUGCAAGCAUGAUCUGAUGGCGAGAAGCUACUAAAUAUCCAUAAGCAACAAAUCUCAUUGGAAUAAUAUGAUCAGCAGUAAAUCUUCUGAAAUUAAUGGACGUCAUAGUGAAGCAAGCUUUAGACUACCUUCACUACAUAGAGCACAAACCGUUCCAGAUCAAGACAUCGUAGCAGAAAAUGCGCUCCCACAACAACCAUUACUGGCCGACCCUCACUGUCCACCCCACCUCGGUAACUGAGAAAGAGAGAAAGAGCCAUAAAUAUCUGGAUGUAAAUAUCCAAUGAUCCCAGUGUAAACACAUUUAUGAACUAACAAAGGGUUGUCUAGGAAAGACGUAAAUUACUCAGAAGCUUCCGUAUAACAAAGUGAAGAGUAAAUUAAACAGAUAAGAGUAUGAGCUUAGUCAUGAGUCCUACAAAACUCAAUAAUAUUGGUGUAUUUAGAGAGGACAUAUACAAGGAUAUAAUAACACCGCGUAAUCAAAAACUUAGAGCUGCUCACACAAUUUUCAUUUCUGCAAUUUCAGAAAGAUUAAGAGAAUUUGCUUUCGAAAGAUAUCUUGAAUGGAGAGAAUAUUCUUCAGCGGCCGAUAGGGGAGGUCCUCCGAGGUCACCAUAUCCAAUCAUUUUAGUAAAAUUCCAACCACUUUGCGCUUGAGCAGUUUUUUCCCAUUGUUCCUUGCGUCUCUGAUCUGGAUCCUUAAUUAGGGACAUGAAACCAGGAUCCAGAUAAGAAUCCAAAUAUGAUGAGUUCCUGUUAAGAAAGAAAAGAAUCUUCUAUUACGGUUGGUGAAUAUAGAAAGGAAUCAUGAAUUUAAUAAGGACACAUAAAAGAAGAGAGCAACCUUUGAACACCAAAACCAUACAAAUUGACACAUAAUACAUACAAAACUUAAAUAGACAUACAUUCAGAACAAAUGAAUUCUUAUCAAAGAAUUAUUCUUGCUUUAGCUCUUAUAGAAAAUGUUCAAUCUUAACAGGCAAUAAAAGCUAUAACUUCGCUCUAAACUAUUACUCCACAAACUAUGCGCACAGGGGUAAAGAAAAGGCCUGGUAUCUCUGGUCUGAUGAACAAGAAGGAGGCAUUAUUCCAUUUACCACGUUUGGAAAUAAUUGGUGGUAAUUUAGCAUCACAGUUUGAAUGUCAUAUUCUGUAGCUAAGAUCUCAACAUAAAAGUUACAAAAUGUGGUUCUUCUAUUCAUGGAAAGACAAUGAAGGCAUUGAUAUGCACUUCAGGAUUUCUUCUGUAAGCACUAUGUUACCCUGGUCCCCCUUUCUUUUCUAUUUUUGGGGAGAAGUCCCUGGUCCCUUGCUUCUCUUGAAAGAAAAGACUGAGAGCAAAGCCCACAAAAUAUCUGAUCCAUCAAAAUCAUCCGCAUAGCUGAACUAGAAUCAGCAAUGCUUAAAUUCUAGCUACAUUAGUUAUAAAGCACUUUAAGUUAUAGAAUGAGUUUACAAGGUGACUAACCGUCUCACCAAUCCGACCUCACUGACAGGAAGAUCCAUUAGAGUUUGGGGAGAUUUGGGAACAUUCUUCUUCACUUUGGGUAAAGGCUUUAUUCUGAUUUUCCGUUCAUCUAAGGUUGUCUCCCCAUUUUCAUCCCCAACAUCUGCAGGAAGCUUGGAAAUGGCCGCCUCCUCUUCAUGUUUAUCACGAGGGAAGUAAAGUGGAAGCAAUCUACAUUCUCAAAAGGUUAAAGUAUAUUAAGUUCAUAAAAAUUUAAUCGCACAGUAAUCAUUCGUAAAUAUUCCAUGAAAUGUUCAAAGCUGUUGUUUGGAUUAUAGGAAAUAGUGAUUUCAUCACCUUUAUUAGGAAAACAAACAGGUUUUAUGACAUACCUCUUAUAAAUCUCAGUAUCAGAUGAAGUUAUAGUGCAAAAAACAACAGCUGUUACUUUAUCUUUCUGUUUCUCUAGAAACCGUCGCACAGUUCCUGAUAAAAAUAAAUUGAAUAUGAAAUAAGAGAUGAUACAUUUGACAUCCACAAGUAUUUUUGCUAAUUGAAAAAACAAAACACUUGAGCAUGGAUAUAUAAGUCUGAAUUAUCUUAUUCAACCAGCAUCAUUUCAACAAGAAUCCAUGCAUAUGUAUGUGUUAAGGUCAGCUAAUUAGUGGUAGACGCAUGAAUUUUGGUGGUGAGGGCGUAAUACUAAGUUACUCAAAAACACACACACACACGUGUGUGUGUGUCUAUAUAUAAUCACAUGCUUAAAACACUAAUUUUGUGUAUAUAGUCAUUAGCCUUAUAGGACAAGGAAGUACUAAUAGAAUCAAAAAGCAAAAUUGAAAAAUUAAACCAUCUAAUCUAGGGCUCAAACAUGAAAUUCCACAAAUUUUAACAUUGAAUAAUAAUUAUAAAAAAAAAACAGUUCAACGUAUAUGAAUGUGUUAUUGUGUGUGUUCAGAGUGUGUACAAAAUCUUAAGACAUGAAUACUUAAAUAUCUACAUACAUAUAUAUAUAUAUAUAUAUAUAUAUAUAUAAUGAAUAUUGUAUAUAUAAAUAAAAGAAAAGAUACAGAAUAAUGUUGAUAAUUUAGCACCCAAAAAAAAGAGAAGAAAGAGAGAAUAAUGUUUAUAACUUAAUAUACCUUAUCAUGAAUGAAGAAUCUCGAAUUGAUGAUUGAAACAAAAUAUAAUCAGCCAAGAAUAACAAAAGGCCUAGAAAGAUCGACUUCUUAAACUUUUUGUUCUGCACCUUCAAAACAUUUUGAUCUUUUUUCAGUGCUUAAAUUGGUACUUUUUCUCUAAAACUAUUAGUCUAUUACGCUAUGGCCUUAUAUUUUUAAAGCCAAUUCAGUUACAUCCCUGUCAUUUUACUUCUUCCAUUUUCAAAAUUUCAGUGCGGGCAGCUGCCCUCAUUUGACCCAGUGUGUAUCCACCCCUAAAAGCAGCCCAUUGACACAAUAAUAGCACAUAAGGAACUAAUUAUAAAUUAAAAAAAAUUGCAUAAGGAAUUCUCACUUAUUGCCACAUGAGCGGCUGGUUCACGUGGAUAGUUUUUGGCUUCUGUGUAUAUACAGCCCAUCGCAAUACUGCAAUAAUACAUGCUAAAGAUGGUAAGUUCCAGGUUUUUAAAUACAAGAAAUUUAAUUCCAAUUGAUCAAGAAAGUAGUAAAAUGUUGAAGAAUGCAGCCUAGUCCACUUUACCUUUGAAGCCCAUUUUCAAUGAGAAGUUCAAGGCAAGACCUAUAACAGUGACUAAGAGCAUUCUCUGCAGCAGUAUGAUAUUUCACGGCAUACUUAGGACCAACAGUAUGAAUAACCCUCCUGAAAAAGGGAAAAGAUACUCCAUUCAGUGUUAUGCCAAGAACUGCGAUAGAUAGCAAAGUUGGAGUACACUACAUGUAGCUGUACUGCUAUAGAUACUAAGGAAAGUGCAACAAAUCAUCGCAUAAAGAAUAACAGGCGAAUGACAAGCUAAAAGAUGCUUAACAAACUGCAUUGGUAAAUUCAUAACAUAAAUAAAUGUCUGCCCGUCCAACUUCAAUAGCUCAAGUUGCCCCAAGUUUGGUGUUACAACAUAGAUUGAUAUGUACCUCAUUAAUAGGAUUUGAGACGGCCAUAGUUAAUUUUUACUCCCUCCCUGCCACAUUGUUUGCAACACUCACGAAAUAUAUGAUGCGCCAAAAGCAUAUUUAAAUGUUAAAUUUAAUAUAGUCAAAUGUUAUAUAUUUAACUAUAUUACAAGUAUUUCAAAAAUAAUAUUCAAAUAUGGAAUAGAAGGCAAUCACCAUCACUGCACAUAAUGGUACGCGAGGCUUGCUUAUUGGAAACUUAUGAGUGACAAAAUAUUGAAAACAAGCUUCUAUUUCCAGAAAAUACUUCUAGGAACAAUACCGGAUGCAUGGAUCCUACAUCCUUCUCUUGAUUUCUGGAGAUGAAACUACGCAAGGACAUGCAGGACAAUUUAGGAUGAUCGAAUCGAGAAGUCCAACUUCAAACGUCGAUUGUUCAUGAUGUAUAGAAAAAUAACAGUUCCUAGGCGCAUGGGUGUGGUGUAAAGUGCAAACAUGGUGCAGGAAUAAUUUAUGAUACACAUUUAUGGAAUCCUCUAUUCUCAACGUAAACACAAUACGAUAUAUAUAACAAUGUCAAAGUAAAUGAUUUAGCAAUACCGCCAAUAUACCCACCUAGCGGGAAGGUCAUAUGCAUUAGUAACUUUUGCCAUACCCGUGCGACAGCCACCCUGUAGAAAAAAAUAAAUUUAUGAUAUCAUAUCACUUGAAUUAUGAAUUUUAAUUAUUUUCAUAGGAGUGCCUUGUUUAAUACCUAAAACAAGAUUGGGUAAAAAUAAAUUUGCUCCAUUUUUAAAUGUCAGAAUCAGUUAGCACUAGUGAUACUAGCUAAUUUUGAAACUAAAUACAUAUUCAAUUUGCAGAUAGCGUACCAGUGUUGCACAUUCUUCAGCAAGACCAGGUCCAGCUGCGGCAUGCAAGCCAGGGCUGCUGUGUACUUCAUCCAAAUUCUGUCAACCAGCGAACUAAAAAUAUAAGGCUCUAAUGAAACAGAACUUGAGUGGUCAUUUUGUCAGUGACACAAACUGGAUAUUUGCAAUGUUGCAGCAAAUUAAAGGGAUGCCUAAAAGUAUGCUCAAUGAUGCAGUUUAUGGGCAUUAAGAUGCACUUAACAGAAUCAAACAUGAUUUAGACUAAAUUCUAAAUAUAUAGAAUUUCUGAUCACAAUGAGAAUGUCAUUAUUGCAUGAGAUAGGCAACAUAUUCUCAGUGGAGAUUUAUAGGUAUAAAUCAUUGCCAAAAGGUAGUAAUUGGGGCUCGCUUAUCGCGUUUAGUUAAAAGGCAACCAACUUCCUUAAAUUAACUUGAAUCACAUGUAGUAAAUGAAAUAAAACAUCAAACUUCUCUCCUAUAAAUAUAUAUAUAUAUAUAUAUAUAUAUAUUUAUAUAUAUAUAUAUAUAUAUUUAUAUUUAUAUUUAUAUUUAUAUUUAUAUUUAUAUAAAUAUAAUGAAAAAACUUACUACUCCAAUUCAAUGCCCAGAUUUGAUACAUUGAAAUGGGUUUCUCUAAUGAAGGGGGAUUAGAGAGACUAAUUUAAUUUUGGGUGAACAAUCAAGGCAGACAAUUAUUUUCCAAUAUAUUCUCUAUAUAGAAGAAGUUUAAAUUAACUUCAAACACUUCUAGGGUGAUGAGAGUAUGAUAACAGGUUUUGCAGUGAGACGAAAUAUUAGAACAUUUGAUUAUGCCAUGACAAAAAGAAUCAACCUAAAUUCACACCACGUUUGUGAGCAUGCUUUACAACUCAUUUCCCUUUCACCAUAGAGCUAGCAAAUUAAACACAUGGUAAAAACAUGCAGAAGCACUAAUUGCAAAGGCAUCUGUCCCACACAGAACGAUCAUCAUAUUUGCCUUCAAACCGGAAAAUAGCUUAAAAACACCAAUGAGAAAUAGUUUGCUACUCACCUCAUUUGUAGAGUUAACAACAACGUCUACCUCAAGAUUCCAAGGAUUCCCUCUCCAUAGAUAUAUCUUCGAGUUAAUUUCAUGAUCAACAGGAAACCUUGAAGUCCCAUUUCCACCACUCUCCACUCCAGACGAAGCAGUUAAAGGGUCUGGGAAAUAUGAAUUUGGAUAACCAGAAUCCUCAAUUUCAUAUGAUAACCUAAACUCUGCAUCACUCCAGCAAGGAACUUGAUCUAGUGUCACCACAAAAUCUCCACUAUCUGUAGCUAAUCCACCACGAAUAGUAGUAGUUGGCAGAGGCCUAUACAUGGUCGUUGUUUUCCUCUAACAAAUAUUCACCUCCUUUUUAUGUCCAAAAAGACUGCCAACUCCUAUCCCUCAACUUACCCGAAAUUUCUGGAACAUACUGAAUUCAACAGCCCACAACAAACUAGCAAAGCAAAACUCAGCAGUUACUAUCCUGGAAGAGACAAAUUAGGCAAAAAUAUAAACCUACAUUAAAAUCAAAUAAAAGACGGAUAUAAUAUAUCAUGUAUGUUGCUCAAGCAAGACAUGAUUUUCCAUCAAAACAGAUUCUUCUAAUCAGAGAGUACGUCAAAUUACAGCUUACAAAUUACAAAAUUCAAGCUUAAUUUCAUAAAAUAGGACAUCAACAUCUCAAAUGAAAGAUUCACAACAAUAAAACCGAGAUAUAUUUGAAUUUUAAUACUUUUGAAGUCGUGCGAAGUGAAUUGAUCUAUUGCAUAUAUAUAUAUAUAUAUAUAUAUAUAUAUAUAUAUAUAUAUAUGCACAUACAUGAAGCUGAAUAAAUGUAUGUGUAUACAAUUAUAUGUAUAUAUACACACACUCGCACAUGGGGCAUCAUAGAUUUGCUAACCUUAGAUGGAGAAGACUUUCAUUAGAUUGAAGAGGAUAAAGAGAGGAAGAUAUAAAAUGUAUAAGCAUAUACCUGUGAAGCGGUGUGAGAUUUGGGGGCGCAAUUUAUAUGAUUGCAGAGAGAGAUUAAAGGAAGAAGACCACAGUUUUUUUGGGAUCUGAUGAACUUGCUAAAAUUAGGACUGUUCGGCAAUUACUUAUUUUAAAGUAACGCAUAAGCUAAAUUUUAAAUUAAAUGGUAAGUCAUUUUAAAUUGUUAGUUAUAAAUAAAGUGUUUGUUAUUAUUUUGACUUAUAAGUUAUAAUAAACAGUGAAGGUGAUUAGUUGAAUGACUUAUAAGUUAAAAUAAGAUAUAAAGAUUAGUAAAAUAAAGAUAAAGUAGUCUUUAUAUUUGAUCAAAUUUAUUUAAUUUGAAAUGACUUAUAAGUUAAUUUUUGAGAAGUAAUAAAUUAUUACUUCUCAAAAAAUAAUUAUAAAUCAAUUUAUAAGUUAAAAAAUAAGUCAUACAAAUAUUCAAAUAAUUUUAAAAAAUACUUAUAAAUUAAUUUGAUUGACUUAAAAAUUACUCCUAAACAUAAUAAUAAUUUAUAAAUUGAUUUGAGCAAAUAAAAAUCACUCUUGAACAUGACAGUAGGAUCUGGUUAUCAUAUAAUAUUUCGAAUUUGAAACAAUAAUAUUUUCUUGAAUCAUUUUAUAUUCACUUACAAGUUCAUAAUUGAAGUUACUAUUGUUAGUAUUUAAUUUCUUAUAUAAACAAACCGAGUUAAAUCCAAAUAAGACCUUAAAUUACUAAAACAAUAAUAUCUUCAUUUUACUCAAAAAGUUUGAAGGCAUUAUUGUUAAUAAAUUUCUUAUAUGAACUUUUAAUUUUUCUCAUAUAUUUAGAUAUUAGACUGAGGUGUUACAUAUGUUUUCAUUAAAAAUAUUUUUCUUGUAUUUAAUUUUCAUUAAAAAAGUAGUUCAGCAUAUUCUCCCUACACGGGUUAUUUUCACAAAUAAACUUGGUAUUAAAUAAUAUUAUUAUCAUAUAAAAAAGAAUUAUAUAAUAUUUAUAUAUACACAUGCAUACUGCAACUCCCAACCUUUUUUGGAUCCGGUUAGCAUGAAAUUAUUUUUUUAGUAAGUUGGUCAAUUGACUAAUAGAAUAGUGACACGCAUACAAUCUCACCUACGUAUCAGUAUUCUAUUGGUCAAUUGACCAACUUACCCCAAAAUAAACUUCAUACUAACCACUUCCCUUUUUUUNNNNNNNNNNNNNNNNNNNNNNNNNNNNNNNNNNNNNNNNNNNNNNNNNNNNNNNNNNNNNNNNNNNNNNNNNNNNNNNNNNNNNNNNNNNNNNNNNNNNNNNNNNNNNNNNNNNNNNNNNNNNNNNNNNNNNNNNNNNNNNNNNNNNNNNNNNNNNNNNNNNNNNNNNNNNNNNNNNNNNNNNNNNNNNNNNNNNNNNNNNNNNNNNNNNNNNNNNNNNNNNNNNNNNNNNNNNNNNNNNNNNNNNNNNNNNNNNNNNNNNNNNNNNNNNNNNNNNNNNNNNNNNNNNNNNNNNNNNNNNNNNNNNNNNNNNNNNNNNNNNNNNNNNNNNNNNNNNNNNNNNNNNNNNNNNNNNNNNNNNNNNNNNNNNNNNNNNNNNNNNNNNNNNNNNNNNNNNNNNNNNNNNNNNNNNNNNNNNNNNNNNNNNNNNNNNNNNNNNNNNNNNNNNNNNNNNNNNNNNNNNNNNNNNNNNNNNNNNNNNNNUUUUUUUUUUUUUAUGUGAUACUCCAUUGUUGCUCGGAGUAGUAUUUUCCUUCAUCUCUCUCCAAUCAUUCACGGGAUUAAAAUAUUUUACUCAUUUUUAUUUGUGUCUCGAUUUCCGUGCUAAUCGUGAUAUUGGAUGAUGACACACAGUCCAGUUCAUCAACUUGUAGUAUGUUGGUUGACUGGCCACCCGUGAUAAUUUUUCUUUCUUUGUCGAGAGUCUAGACACAAAAAAUAAAUCUCACUUUCUAUUCUCUACUUUUUAUACUAGUUGUACCCAAGGAAAAAAUGCUUUUACCACAAAAAUAACAGUAAGAGUUUCUUUUCAUUGGUCUACAAGCUCUCCCGAAAUUUGAUCAUUACCAAUUUUACUUUCUUCUUCAUAGGUUUCCAUACAAGUCCUAAAUAAAAUACAAAGAUUCCCUUUGGAUUUACCAUUAACCACCCCGUAAAAAAAUUUAUCCUUCAAGCAUGGCCUUGGCGGCAUCAAUUAAGAGAGGUCUUAGAUCAUGUGAAGCUCGACCAAGCACAGUGUACCCCUCUUUGUCCUCUACAUCCACAUCUGCUCCAUGUCUUAUCAGAAGCAUAGCCACCUGUUCACCGCACAAAAAACAGCAGAUUUGUUACCUUCUGUUUUUAUGGUGUACAUAAACAAGUUUCACUAUAAUUAUUUCAGCAGAUAGCCAAAGGCAAGUACUACACCCAACCACUAAAAUCAACAACAACAACAACAAAAAGAUAGUAAACAGAAUUUGCCAAGUGAAGAGAAUUUUAUAGUCAUGUAAAUGAUUUAUAUACAACACUCAAUUAAGUUUGUUCGUGACUUGAAAUGAAACUCACACAUUUGACAACAGAUCUAAAAAGAACAGAACCAAUAUCUUACAACAUAAGUCGAAACCUGGCUAGUACAAGUAUCAAUGCAUAAACCAUAAAUCGUACAGUUUAGACAUUUAUUAUGGUAUACAUCUCAAUUACCUCUCUGUUGUCGCAGAUCACUGCAUUCAUUAGAGAUGUUUGACCUGCCCUAUCAACAGCAUCAACCUCCGCUCCUUCCUCAAUCAGGAGUUCACACAACUCUGAGUUCCCAGUGCUUGCUGCACGGUGGAGUGGGGUGCAUCCAACCUGAGUGACAUGAACAUUGCACAUUCAACUAUGAAACAGAGGAUGCUAUAUUGAUAAAAUAAAUAAAAGACAAUACCCAUUGAAAGAAAAAUAAGACAAUAUUAUAUAAUUCAGAUGUCCAUAUAAGUGAAAGCAUGAGACUACUAACCUUAUCUUUUGUGUUCAGCUUCGCACCAUUUGAAAUCAGAAGUUCAGCUAUUUUUAACCACCCCUUGCUAGCUGCAUAGUGAAGAGCAGUGCGACCACCAUCAUUUUUCAAAUUAACAUCAGCUCCUGUUCAUCAGAAUUUAAUUUUAGUCCAAGGGUAAUGACUUACAAAAACCAAAUACUAUCAGCUAUGGGUUAUUAUGAUGUAUGCUUCUAUUCUAUAUUUCGUGUGCUACAUGAUGUAAGAUGCUAGAGCUAAGCAGAAAGUAGUAACAGUCUAUGUUAAGAACAAGGAGUGUCAUUACAUCAGCAUCAAUAACCCAAAAUCACUAAUCUACUGUUUGAAAUGGGUAUGCAAUUGUUUAGAAGCUUCAUCAGACAGAGGAGAAAGAAGGGGAGGCACGAGUGUAGGUAUGAUAUUACCUACAUCACUAGCUGAUCUACUAAUACAGUAGUCAUCCAAAAAUAUAAGAUUACUGCUGAAUGAGAAUCAUCAGUUCAGAGUAAUUUGAUGCCACAUUCAAAACAAUUGUCCAAAAAGGACAAACUAAUUUUUAAAUGAGCACUAAAACCGUAACCACUUCUGUAUUCUGGCUCUUAAAGGAAAACUCCUCUACACAGUCGCAAAGUGCAACUUGAGCAUACCAAUUAACAAUGUACAUGGAUGGAAUUAGAGAAGUAUACUCAGUGAACAUGGAGUUACAACAGUUAAAUCACCUUUUCACAUUUAAUCCUGCAUGAAAAAGGUGAUUAAAUUUAAAAUUUUGUACAGAAUAGUUUGUCAAUCACAAACAAUAUCUAAUGAAUGCAAGCUCUUUCGAGGGAGCAAACAACUCUUUCCAAUUGCAUAAGGUGUUUUUGACUCAAGCUUCUAUUUCUUUCUCAGUUGAACCCAUAAGGUGCUCUUUGACUUGAAAUCUUGAAAGUUGCGCGGGGAAGAUUAGUUAUUUUGUUGAAGUACCAACCUUACAGAGAACUUCAUCAAGAUAUCAAAAAAGGAGCAAUUAAUUAUAUAUAAGCAAAAUUUAUAUACAGAGUGGCCACAUAGAUUGAUGAAUCAUUGGAUCCGAGUACUUCAAAAUAUUGCACCACUGAUGAAUAUCAUUACUCCAAAAUCGUCACAACCACAUUAUUUAGUAUGUGAAUUCUGUAUAAAAUAUCAUGUAUUAUUGUAUUACUAUAUUAUACUCGCUCCAUACCAAUAUAUUAGUCGUUUAAGGACCUUUUUUUUUGUUCCAAUAUAUUAUCGUUCUCUCUUAUCUAGGAUAUAAAGUUAUCUACAUUCCUAUGAUACCCCUAAUUUAUCUCCUCUUUCCAAGGACAUUUUUCCCAUAAAAAAACACUACUAUUCUCUUUCCUCUCUCUUAUUUAAUGUUUUCCAAUAAAAACAUAAAGUGGCAAAUAUGGAAAUUGAGACCUAUAUUAAUUAUGAAGUAAUGACAUUCUUAAUAUGUUUGUUUUAUGUUAUAAUGUCUAAUAACUUGAAAUGGAGGGAGUAUUUGUUAAAAACUAAUAGCACUUUAGAGGAAAGAAAACAGUAAGAAGGUUGUCAGCAACUCAGCAUACAAUUAAGAUUUUCAUGUUCAGUUUUUGGGACCUGGGUGUGGGACUCAGCUUCGGUCCCAAAAAAAUAUUAGUGAGAUACCGUAGAGGCUGUAUGGUGCCACUGAGUUUUUUGCAAAUUCUCAACAUGAUCUAGAAGCAAUUAUAUCCUUACCUCUGCUCAGUAGAAUCUCCACAAUUUCAACAUGCCCACUGCUAGCUGCAGAAUGCAGUGGUGCCCAGCCUUCUUCAUCAGUACUGUUUAUACCACUAAUUAACAGAUCAGCGGCUGAAAGUAUCUUCACUACCUGUUACAUUACAAAUUCAAGCAGAACUACUGUUAAAUACACAUUAAAUUCAUAACCCAAAAAAAUGAAUUAUACAUAGCAGAACAACUAGCUUACGCAUAAUACCAAAAACCAAAAUGCACAAAAAAAUUAAAACUCAAACAAAUGGCCAACCCCUCCCCUCCCCUCCAAAUAAAUAAAUAAAGUCCUAAUGUGUGUCACCUGUUCAAAGUAGGACCUGACAUUACAUAACAAUGUAACCAAUAAGCUGCUUUCCCCAUUUUCAAACUACAUUAAAAAUAGCAAACUUAUUUUCUAGCAAAUGGUAAACUUAGUAAUCCCACUAGUUCAAUAACAGUACUAAAGAUCAGUUCUUCCGGUCUAGUUGUGGGAAAAUAAAAUUAAAAAAACAACUAAAUUCAAAACCGUUAAAUUAUAUGACCAUUUGAUCUAAGUUUAUCGCCAAAACUGCAAAUCAUAUAAAAAUUCAAUUUUACUUUGGAGGGAGGAGACGGACCUCGGUGCGGCCAGAAGAGGCGGCAACAUGAAGGAGGGAACGUUGGUCUUCGUUGCGGAGAGAGAGAGUAUUGAGAAGCUGUUGCUGAGGGAGGGAUUUGAAGACCGAAAAGUCGCCCGAUUCAGCGGCUCUAAAUAGUUCUUCUUCUUUGAUUUGGUGGGUUUCUUUGAUUUCUGGCUUCGGUAGAUCGAUCUCCAUCUCAAUUUCGCCCGGUACUGAUAUCAGCGUGUGAUGAUUUCAGGGUUUUUAGGGUUUUUGGCUUUGCUGUGUCUGGUUGGUUCUAUUGCAAGCUUUGCUGCUGAUAGUCUGAUACCGUAGCUUUCUAGCUUGAAUUGAAAGUAAUAUAAUUAGAAUAAAUAAUUGUUUCUUACAAAUAAAUUUUUCCUACAGCAUAAAAAUUUUAAAAAAAAAAACUUUAUCAUUUGAUAGUUUAAUGAUAAAUAGCUUUGUUUUUACUGUGCAAUUAAAAUCUACUUCUAAAUAAGAAGUUGGAUUUGAGCAUGUGCUUUAGAAAACAAAAGUAAAAAAAAAAAACUUUAUGAAUCCUGAAUAUAUCAAAUAAUUCCUUAAAAACAAUUAACAGACAUUUAGAAAUAUACUUCUCUUAAUUUUGCUGGGUUCAAGAGUCUAAACUUGUAACAAAAUAUUGUACACCUCUUUUUUCACAUCACAAUUCAAAAUAUUUUCGCACAUAUUAUAAAAAGUAAAUUAAAGUAGAAGAAAAAAAAUUUAAGCUUAUUUAUAGUAACUCCACACAAUUACAUAAAAUGAUGUUUUAUUUAUUUAUUUAUUAGUGGACUCCAAUAAAUAAUAUAUUUACCUUUUACUAAUAUAUGUACUUAUUGUUAUUUUGAAGAUAAAAAAAAAAUUGUAUAUUAAUCCAUUGUUUUGAAGGCCGAGAGAAUACCUUUUACAUACAAUUGUACCAUAAGUAUUAGUGUGAUGUAAAAAAAAAUAUAAAAUGACCGAAUCCUCUCUUUAUUUUUAUUUUUUUAAAAAGAAAUGGAUGAGUAGUAAUACUAGGUCUGUACCACACCAUACAUUAUCUACAAAUGUGACCGAUAUCUGAUUUUUGUGGGAGUCAUUAGCAUAAAUUGAAUUUUAUGGUAAGUUCAUUUCAUAAUUAAUAUAGUGAUGAUACGUAAGCAAAUAAAUUAUCAUCUUGUCUAUGUGUCAAUACUGUAUUAUGCAUGAAGUAAACAACUAUAAAGUUCACUUCAUACUAAGUAUUAGUCGGUCGUUUCUCAAGAAUUUAAGUUUGAGAAAGAUAGAUAUUCAUGAUAGAAAUAAGUAGUAGAAUACAAGAAUAUUGUGUAUAACAUUAAAUUAAGUUAAGUUAGUUGAAAAUUUAACCUUUACUUUAUAGUGUAAUUAGACAAAAAUUAAAAUUUAUACAAAAUUUGUUCUCAAUUCCAAUACUAAAAUUUAGAAUUAAGUUAGUAAAAAUAUACUCAAUUAAAGGUACAAUUUUUUUGUUCUCAAAAUGAUAAAAUAAAAUAUAUAAAAUGUUUAUUAGUAUAAAAAAUAAAAUACAUAUCAUUUUAUAUAAUUUUAAAGAAUCAUUAAAGAUAAAUUUUUUAAAAAAAAUAAUUUAUUUUUACUUUUAUUUGCACAUAUUUUGGGGAUAUAUAUUUUGUUGAUUAGGAUAAAAAUAUCGUGACAAGUCGACAGGCUGAGAAGUUGUGAGCCACAGAAUCCAGUGUGAUUAACUUCCUCCUUAUGUUUGUGAGUAUCAAAACACGCUCUCAACGGGGGAAGCACAAAAGGAUAAAAUAGUAAAUCCAAAGUAAUCUCUCUCAUUUAUCCACUACAACUAAUUUAAUCCCGGGAGUCUUUGCUCAUAAAUAAGCCUCCAACAUCCAACUAUUCCAUCAUUCCAAUUUCCAACCACCCAUUUUGAUCUCCACUCUAGCCAUUCCAAGAUAUGGACGCCUUUUUCGGCAGCAAGCCCACUGAAGGUGAUGAUCAGAAGGACCACUCAAAACCAUCCAACUCUGACCUAUUUUCCAGCGCCAAGCUGUUAGCUGAGGCCGCCAAAUCCAGCUUCAGCAACCAAUCCGACAACGUUGACAAGGCCAAGCUCGCCGGCGCAGCCGAAAACCUCCUCAACGCCGCCGAGGAAUAUGGAAAACUUGACGAAAAGGGGUACGGUACCUAUGUUGACAAAGCAGAAGACUAUCUUCACAAGUUUUCCACCCCCACCACCACAGCGCUGCCGGCCGCAGCCCCCCCGGCUCCGGCCCCGGCACCGGCCCCUCAUGAUUCUGAAGAAGAAAAGCCUGCAGGAAUUGGUGGGGUUGGAGAUGUUAUGAAGAUGGCUGGAGGUUUCUUCAAGUAGAAUUAAGUACUACUCGAAAAAACCUCCUCAACGCCGCCGAGGAAUAUGGAAAACUUGACGAAAAGGGGUACGGUACCUAUGUUGACAAAGCAGAAGACUAUCUUCACAAGUUUUCCACCCCCACCACCACAGCGCUGCCGGCCGCAGCCCCCCCGGCUCCGGCCCCGGCACCGGCCCCUCAUGAUUCUGAAGAAGAAAAGCCUGCAGGAAUUGGUGGGGUUGGAGAUGUUAUGAAGAUGGCUGGAGGUUUCUUCAAGUAGAAUUAAGUACUACUCGAUCGAUCGAAUAUAUAUAAUUCAUAUAUAUUCCUCCUUCCUAUAUGUAGUAAUUAAUUUCUUGUGUAUUGUUGUUGUUGUACUGUCCUGUCCACUCCUUGAUUUGGGUGCAUGUUUUGUUGGCUUGUUUGUUUGUUUGGAGUAAUGAGUGGUGUUUUAACUAGCAGUGGCUUAUGGUGCAGUGAAUUAACCAUCUCAUGUACAUGUAGUAGUAUUAAUAACGUCUACUCUUUUCCAAGAGUAAUACUACUGCUAUUGUAUUUGUGAUUAUAACAAUAUACUCUAUGCCUGUGUGAUUGUGUUCAUCUGUGGUAGAGCAAAAAAAAACUUUUCAAAUUGAAUUUAGUUGAUUUUGUUACUACCUCCCCCAUAA
rnacentral:lncRNA from 1 species